GGAUUAGAUACCCUGGUAGUCCACGCCGUAAACGAUGGAUACUAGCUGUUUGGUUUUCGGACUGAGUGGCUAAGCGAAAGUGAUAAGUAUCCCACCUGGGGAGUACGGGCGCAAGCCUGAAACUCAAAGGAAUUGACGGGGGCCCGCACAAGCGGUGGAGCAUGUGGUUUAAUUCGAUGAUACGCGAGGAACCUUACCAGGGCUUAAAUGUAGGUUGACAGGACUGGAAACAGUUUUUUCUUCGGACAACUUACAAGGUGCUGCAUGGUUGUCGUCAGCUCGUGCC
rnacentral:rRNA from 1 species